ACGACGUCGAGCUACUACGGUAGUGAAGUCAUUGAUGCCAUGCUUCCAGGAAAAGCCUCUAAGCUUCAGAUAGUCAGGAAUCGUACCCCAAACCGACACAGGUGGUCGGGUAGAGAAUACCAAGGCGCUUGAGAGAACUCGGGUGAAGGAACUAGGCAAAAUGGUACCGUAACUUCGGGAGAAGGUACGCUCUUGAUGGUGAAGUCCCUCGCGGAUGGAGCUGACGAGAGUCGCAGAUACCAGGUGGCUGCAACUGUUUAUUAAAAACACAGCACUGUGCAAAAUCGCAAGAUGACGUAUACGGUGUGACGCCUGCCCGGUGCCGGAAGGUUAAUUGAUGGGGUUAGCGCAAGCGAAGCUCUUGAUCGAAGCCCCGG
rnacentral:rRNA from 1 species